GGGGACGUUGUCGUGGAGGAGGAAUGUGAUAACACCGCCGUCGGAGUGAGAGCCGACGCCAAGCGUGAGAUCUGGCGACGGGCACGGCGGGUAGUAGUUGAUGCGCAGCACCAGCCCUAGGCUCUCGGAUAGAGCUUCCAGCAAGCGGCUACAAAGAUUGUGGAGCGCGUGAGUGUAUUCGUCCAGGGUCUCCCUGCGCAGCAAAAGGAAAGAUCCAACUGGAAAUCGAGAAAGGAUGAUUGAAUUUUUGGUGCUGAGAGAUGGCAACCAAAUGGACAACUUUGGACUCAAAUGCUGGCCAUUCCUGAUCAACGUCUCGCUUGUCCAGAGGCCAGAGAUAAUGGAGAAAGUAAUCGCCCCAGUCGAGGAUGGCUCCCUCCGUCACUCCUAUGCGGCUCCCGUAGCCUACCA